AACGAACGCUGGCGGCAUGCCUAACACAUGCAAGUCGAACGAGACCUUCGGGUCUAGUGGCGCACGGGUGCGUAACGCGUGGGAACCUGCCCUUAGGUUCGGAAUAACUCCCCGAAAGGGGUGCUAAUACCGGAUAAUGUCUUCGGACCAAAGAUUUAUCGCCUUUGGAUGGGCCCGCGUUGGAUUAGCUAGUUGGUAGGGUAAAAGCCUACCAAGGCGACGAUCCAUAGCUGGUCUGAGAGGAUGAUCAGCCACACUGGGACUGAGACACGGCCCAGACUCCUACGGGAGGCAGCAGUGGGGGAUAUUGGACAAUGGGCGGAAGCCUGAUGCAGCAAUGCCGGGUGAGUGAUGAAGGCCUUAGGGUUGUAAAGCUCUUUUACCCCGGAUGAUAAUGACAGUACCGGGAGAAUAAGCUCCGGCUAACUCCGUG
rnacentral:rRNA from 1 species